rnacentral:rRNA from 1 species
GACGAACGCUGGCGGCGUGCUUAACACAUGCAAGUCGUACGGUAAGGCCCUUUCGGGGGUACACGAGUGGCGAACGGGUGAGUAACACGUGAGUAACCUGCCCACAACUUUGGGAUAACGCUAGGAAACUGGUGCUAAUACUGGAUAUGUGCUCCUGCUGCAUGGUGGGGUUGGAAAGCUCCGGCGGUUGUGGAUGGACUCGCGGCCUAUCAGCUUGUUGGUGGGGUAGUGGCCUACCAAGGCGGCGACGGGUAGCCGGCCUGAGAGGGUGACCGGCCACAUUGGGACUGAGAUACGGCCCAGACUCCUACGGGAGGCAGCAGUGGGGAAUAUUGCACAAUGGGCGCAAGCCUGAUGCAGCAACGCCGCGUGCGGGAUGACGGCCUUCGGGUUGUAAACCGCUUUCAGCAGGGACGAAGCUUUUUGUGACGGUACCUGCAGAAGAAGCACCGGCUAACUACGUG